GCGUCUGUAGCUCAACGGAUAGAGCAAGUGGCUUCGAACCACUAGGUUGCGGGUUCAAUUCCUGCCAGACGCG
rnacentral:tRNA from 1 species